rnacentral:rRNA from 1 species
AUUGAACGCUGGCGGCAGGCCUAACACAUGCAAGUCGAACGAGUGGCGGACGGGUGAGUAAUGUCUGGGAAACUGCCCGAUGGAGGGGGAUAACUACUGGAAACGGUAGCUAAUACCGCAUACUAUCGGAUGAACCCAUAUGGGAUUAGCUAGUUGGUGAGGUAAUGGCUCACCAAGGCGACGAUCCCUAGCUGGUCUGAGAGGAUGAUCAGCCAAACUGGGACUAAGAAACGGCCCAGAUGCCUACGGGAGGCAGCAGUGGGGAAUAUUGCACAAUGGGCGCAAGCCUGAUGCAGCCAUGCCGCGUGUAUGAAGAAGGCCUUAGGGUUGUAAAGUACUUUCAGCGGGGAGGCGUUACCCGCAGAAGAAGCACCGGCUAACUCCGUGCCAGCAGCCGCGGUAAUUC